rnacentral:rRNA from 1 species
UACCAGCACCCCGAGUGGUCGGGACGAUUAUUGGGCCUAAAGCAUCCGUAGCCGGUUUUACAAGUCCUCCGUUAAAUCCAGCUGCUUAACAGAUGGGCUGCGGAGGAUACUAUAAGACUAGGAGGCAGGAGAGGCAAGCGGUACUCAGUGGGUAGGGGUAAAAUCCGUUGAUCCAUUGAAGACCACCAGUGGCGAAGGCGGCUUGCCAGAAUGCGCUCGACGGUGAGGGAUGAAAGCUGGGGGAGCAAACGGG